rnacentral:tRNA from 1 species
GCCCAGAAAGCUAAAUAGAACCAGCCUUGGUCUUGUAAACCAAAUAAAAGGGUUCAAAUCCCUUUCCGGGCC